rnacentral:rRNA from 1 species
AUACAGAGGGUGCGAGCGUUAAUCGGAAUUACUGGGCGUAAAGCGCGCGUAGGCGGCUGAUUAAGUCAGAUGUGAAAUCCCAGGGCUCAACCUUGGAACUGCAUCUGAUACUGGUCAGCUAGAGUUUAGGAGAGGGAAGUGGAAUUUCAGGUGUAGCGGUGAAAUGCAUAGAUAUCUGAAGGAAUACCAGUGGCGAAGGCGGCUUCCUGGCCUAAAACUGACGCUGAGGUGCGAAAGCGUGGGUAGCAAACGGGAUUAGAUACCCUAGUAGUCC